GUCAGUUGGGCACCUUCUUCCUCUCUCCCUUCCCGCUUAUUCUGAGUGGCGGGGAUUAGCGGUGUUUGCCCCUGGAUAAAAUCUGAGAAGCCCUCCCUGGAGGGUGAAUAAUCGGCCACAGGAGGACUAGAGCUCCUCAGAGAAUCACCCCACCUUGGAGAAGCUGAGCAGAGCUGGUGGUGACUCCUCUGGAAUUCCACGGCAGAUACGGAGGGAAGGAAAAAGGACCAUGUGUCUAAAAACCCUAAUGGGAUCCACCCCAAAUUUUGGCAACAAGAUGGGGGAGGUCACCAGCCUUCCUGACUUCUUCCUGCCUAGAAUGAAACGUGGCCGUUGGAAUGCCCUGCCAACUUCACAUAGCACACAAGGAUCAGAUGUAUUUUACCGUUGAGAAGAAGGAAAAGGAGACUGAGUCAUGUACUGGAUCAACCGUGUCCUCUCAAAACGCUGGUGGGGAAGCACACAUGGUUACCCAGAAACUACAAAUUGUGUACUUGAAAUCAACAAAAAAAGAAGAAGAGGAGAGGACACACAGAGACACAGAAGGAGGAUGCUAUGUGAAGUAGGAGGCAAAGACUGGAGCGAUGCGGCUGCAAGCCAAGAAUGCCAAGGAUGCCGGUAACCACCAGAGGCUAGGAGAGAGGCGUGGAUCAGACUCUCCCUUGGUGCUUCCAGAGAGAAUCAACCCUGCCAACACCUUGAUUUCAGACUUUUGACCUCCAAAGCUGUAAGAGAAUAAAUGCCUGUUGUUCUAAGCCACCCAGUUUGUGGCAAUUUAUUACGCCAGUCCUAAGAAAACUAUAUGCUUUUAUUUUUCUGAUUGCCUUAAGAAUUGUUUUUCUUUGUCUUUGGUGUCCUGAAGCUUCACCAUGAUGUAUCGAACUGUGGGCUUCUUUUGAUUUAUUCUGCUUGGAAUUCAUUAGUUUUCUUAGAACUCUCAGGCUUUCCAUUUUUUAUUUGCUUUUGGCCUGGAAGUUCCUUAUUCAUUUAGUGUCUUUUCAGUGUUUUAAAGAGAUUUUUAAAAAUGAUUGUUCUGGAAGUUUUGAUUGUUUU
rnacentral:lncRNA from 1 species